rnacentral:rRNA from 1 species
GCAUAUCAAUAAGCGGAGGAAAAGAAACCAACAGGGAUUACCUCAGUAACGGCGAGUGAAGCGGUAACAGCUCAAAUUUGAAAUCUGGCCGCAAGGUCCGAGUUGUAAUUUGUAGAGGAUGUUUCGAGCAUGGUCUGGCCUAAGUUCCUUGGAACAGGACGUCAUAGAGGGUGAGAAUCCCGUAUGCGGUCAGGUGCCUACGCUCAUGUGAAACUCCUUCGACGAGUCGAGUUGUUUGGGAAUGCAGCUCAAAAUGGGUGGUAAAUUUCAUCUAAAGCUAAAUAUUGGCCAGAGACCGAUAGCGCACAAGUAGAGUGAUCGAAAGAUGAAAAGCACUUUGGAAAGAGAGUUAAACAGUACGUGAAAUUGUUGAAAGGGAAGCGCUUGCAACCAGACUUGCGCGCGGCUGAUCAUCCGGGCUUCUGCCCGGUGCACUCGGUCGCGCUCAGGCCAGCAUCGGUUUUGGUGGCGGGAUAAAGGCCUUGGGAAUGUAGCUCCUCUCGGGGAGUGUUAUAGCCCAGGGUGCAAUGCCGCCUACCGGGACCGAGGACCGCGCUUCGGCUAGGAUGCUGGCGUAAUGGUUGUAAGCGACCCGUCUUGAAACACGGACC